UAGGGAAUCUUCCGCAAUGGGCGAAAGCCUGACGGAGCAACGCCGCGUGAGUGAUGAAGGUCUUCGGAUCGUAAAACUCUGUUAUUAGGGAAGAACAAAUGUGUAAGUAACUAUGCACGUCUUGACGGUACCUAAUCAGAAAGCCACGGCUAACUACGUGCCAGCAGCCGCGGUAAUACGUAGGUGGCAAGCGUUAUCCGGAAUUAUUGGGCGUAAAGCGCGCGUAGGCGGUUUUUUAAGUCUGAUGUGAAAGCCCACGGCUCAACCGUGGAGGGUCAUUGGAAACUGGAAAACUUGAGUGCAGCAGAGGAAAGUGGAAUUCCAUGUGUAGCGGUGAAAUGCGCAGAGAUAUGGAGGAACACCAGUGGCGAAGGCGACUUUCUGGUCUGUAACUUACUCUGAUGUGCGAAAGCGUGGGGAUCAAACAGG
rnacentral:rRNA from 1 species